ACGAACGCUGGCGGCGUGCCUAAUACAUGCAAGUAGAACGCUGAAGAGAGGAGCUUGCUCUUCUUGGAUGAGUUGCGAACGGGUGAGUAACGCGUAGGUAACCUGCCUUGUAGCGGGGGAUAACUAUUGGAAACGAUAGCUAAUACCGCAUAACAAUGGAUGACACAUGUCAUUUAUUUGAAAGGGGCAAUUGCUCCACUACAAGAUGGACCUGCGUUGUAUUAGCUAGUAGGUGAGGUAAUGGCUCACCUAGGCGACGAUACAUAGCCGACCUGAGAGGGUGAUCGGCCACACUGGGACUGAGACACGGCCCAGACUCCUACGGGAGGCAGCAGUAGGGAAUCUUCGGAAAUGGGGGCAACCCUGACCGAGCAACGCCGCGUGAGUGAAGAAGGUUUUCGGAUCGUAAAGCUCUGUUGUAAGUCAAGAACGGGUGUGAGAGUGGAAAGUUCACACUGUGACGGUAGCUUACCAGAAAGGGACGGCUAACUACGUG
rnacentral:rRNA from 1 species